AGAGUUUGAUCAUGGCUCAGGAUGAACGCUGGCGGCGUGCCUAACACAUGCAAGUCGAACGUGAUGGACUUCGGUCCUGAAAGUGGCGCACGGGUGAGUAACACGUAGCUGACCUGCCCCAAAGUGGGGGAUAACGACUCGAAAGGGUUGCUAAUACCCCAUAAGCUCCCGGUUUUCAGAAAGCUGAGAGAAAAGUUCAGGCGCUUUGGGAUGGGGCUGCGGCCCAUCAGCUAGUUGGCGAGGUAACGGCUCACCAAGGCAACGACGGGUAGGGGGCCUGAGAGGGUGAACCCCCACACUGGAACUGAGACACGGUCCAGACUCCUACGGGAGGCAGCAGUGAGGAAUAUUGCUCAAUGGGCGCAAGCCUGAAGCAGCGACGCCGCGUGGGCGAUGAAGGCCUUCGGGUCGUAAAGCCCUUUUCACUGUGACGAGUAAGGACGGUAGCAGUGGAAUAAGUGUCGGCUAACUACGUGCCAGCCGCCGCGGUAAUAC
rnacentral:rRNA from 1 species